AGUGAACGCUGGCGGUAGGCCUAACACAUGCAAGUCGAACGGCAGCACAGUAAGAGCUUGCUCUUACGGGUGGCGAGUGGCGGACGGGUGAGGAAUACAUCGGAAUCUACUUUUUCGUGGGGGAUAACGUAGGGAAACUUACGCUAAUACCGCAUACGACCUACGGGUGAAAGCAGGGGAUCUUCGGACCUUGCGCGAUUGAAUGAGCCGAUGUCGGAUUAGCUAGUUGGCGGGGUAAAGGCCCACCAAGGCGACGAUCCGUAGCUGGUCUGAGAGGAUGAACAGCCACACUGGAACUGAGACACGGUCCAGACUCCUACGGGAGGCAGCAGUGGGGAAUAUUGGAGAAUGGGCGCAAGCCUGAUCCAGCCAUACCGCGUGGGUGAAGAAGGCCUUCGGGUUGUAAAGCCCUUUUGUUGGGAAAGAAAAGCAGCAGGUUAAUACCCCGCUGUUCUGAGGGUACCCAAAGAAUAAGCACCGGCUAACUUCGUG
rnacentral:rRNA from 1 species